rnacentral:rRNA from 1 species
UACGGAGGAUGCGAGCGUUAUCCGGAUUUAUUGGGUUUAAAGGGUGCGCAGGCGGAGGCACAAGUCAGCGGUAAAAUCGCGGGGCUCAACCUCCGCCCGCCGUUGAAACUGACGGUCUUGAGUGGGCGAGAAGUAUGCGGAAUGCGUGGUGUAGCGGUGAAAUGCAUAGAUAUCACGCAGAACUCCGAUUGCGAAGGCAGCAUACCGGCGCCCAACUGACGCUGAAGCACGAAAGCGUGGGUAUCGAACAGG